CCCUAUGGGGUGCAGCAGGCGCGAAACCUCCACAAUGCGCGAAAGCGUGAUGGGGUUACCCCGAGUGCCGUCCGUUGAGGAGGGCUUUUCCCCAGUGUAAGGAGCUGGGGGAAUAAAGGGGGGGCAAGACUGGUGUCAGCCGCCGCGGUAAUACCAGCCCCCUGAGCUAUAGGGACGAUUAUUUAGCCUAAAGCGUUCGUAGCCGGCUUUGCAAGUCUUUCGUUAAAUCUAACGACUCAAUCGUUAGGCCGCGGAAGAUACUGCUAGGCUUGAGGGCGGGAGAGGUCGAUGGUAUUUCCGGGGUAGGGGUGAAAUCCAAUAAUCCCGGGAGGACCACCAGUGGCGAAGGCGGUCGACCAGAACGCGCCUGACGGUGAUGGACGAAAGCUGGGGGAGCGAACCGGAUUAGACACCCGGGUAGUCCCAGCUGUAAACGAUGCGAGCUAGGUGUUGGGGUAGCUACGAGCUGCUCCAGUGCCGCAGAGAAGUCGUUAAGCUCGCCGCUUGGGGAGUACGGCCGCAAGGUUGAAACUUAAAGGAAUUGGCGGGGGAGCACCACAAGGGGUGAAGCCUGCGGUUUAAUUGGAGUCAACGCCGGGAAACUUACCAGAGCUGACAGCAGGGUGAAGGCCGGACUAAAGAUCUUGCCAGACAAGCUGAGAGGUGGUGCAUGGCCAA
rnacentral:rRNA from 1 species